UGGUCAUACCCCAAGAGGCCUUCAGGUGUGGUUGGUAGCGAAGGAGGGGCCUCUUUGCCUCAGGUGGAACAGCUUUGCAGUGGCAGUCAUGCUCUGUGGCUGCCCGUGGGAUCAGGCUGAGUUUUCUCUGUCCUCCAGAAAUCUUUAUGAGUAGCUGCUCAAAAGGAUGGGAAGCACUUGGCGUAAUAGUCCUAAGAAAAUCAUCCUGUCUCAACCAGAGCUUGAUCUUCUGCCUGCUGCUCUCAGGCUUGAUCAUGAGACUUGCUUUGGCCAACAACCUGCGAGUGGAGGUGAUGUUUGCUGUUUCUGGGCAGAAGCUCUAAGAGCUAGCCCAUAGUUCUCCACGUCCUCUCCCUGCAUCUGUCUUUGUUAGGAUGUCAGCUUGGGUUCUCAGUGAUUCAAAGCUGGUUGUUGACCCAGGAUGGAUGUGCACGAUUUUUAUUGUAUUCUUGCACAGAGAGUACAAGAGCAAUAUCAAGAAACACACAGCUCUAAGAUUCAUAAGUUGAACUCCAGCCCCCAGCCUGGCCGCGUUUGGAGAUGGGAAUUCUUAGGAAGUUAAGUGAGCUCUAAGGGUGGGGUCCCCGCCUCAUAGGAAUAGUGUCUUCUACGAGGAGACACCAGAGGGCGCUCUCGAUGCUCCCACUCCGAGGAAAGGCCAGGGGAGGACCCAGCGAGAAGGUGACCGGCGGCCUGCAAGGGGAAAGAGCCCUCAUCAGGAAUUGCAUCAGCCAGCACCUUGAUCUUGGACUUCUAGCCUUCAGAACUAUGAGGAAAUGAAUUUCUGCUGUUUAUGUCACUCGAUCUCUGUGAGAGCUUUCUGUUUUUCAGAAUGCAAUUCAUACAAAAGGAAGUAUUUCAGAGAAGACUAUCAUGACUUUUUUUUGGCCAAGCCUGUGGAAGUUCCUUGGCCAGCAGUAGCCCUGUGAUCAGUGACAAAGCCAAGUCCUUAACCUCUAGGGCACCAGGGUUUAUGGUGAAACUGGAGCAGUGAAUUCUGGUGGAAUUACUUGGGAAUACAGGCAUAUGCAUGACAGUCUGGGGAAGCCAUGUUUGUGUUGUUCGAGGUGAAGAAUUAUCAUCAAUAUGCUGCUUACAUCAUAGGCUGUCCAGUGAAGAUGAAGUUUCCAACAAGGGCCUAGAAGCUCAUGAGCAUAAAGUGCUGGUGCCCUCUCAGGAAGGCUGUGAGCUGGAAGUCACUGUAUCCAUGGAGUGUGGAAAAUUCCAUCCUGAUAUGAGCCUGCAAUACCCUCCAGGGAACUAAUCUAAGAAGCUUGGCAGGUGGGGCAGGAACUCUUAGGUGGGGGUGGUUUCUCUGUGGGGCAAGUGACAGAGUCAUGGUCAGGGAGGCCCUUCUGGUAAGAGAAGUGUCAUGGUUACGGUGACUCUGAGUGUAAGAUGUGUUGGCAAAUGGAAGAGAGAAUGGCUGGAUUAAGAACUAGCUGGGUUGAAACUAGGGGAAAUUGAUUGGGAUGAAAGGGUUGGCCUCCCCUUUAGAAAGGGGCUAAAAGUCCAAAUCACCAGGGCUACAAAGACAUGGCAGACUUUAAUCUACUCUUUCCCCAAGGGCCCAAAAGCUCUAAGGAGGGCUUGUCUAGGGUCCUGGCCCAAAACACAUCAGACCUCCCUGGAUGUCCUGAACCGGCACCUAUAGGAGAAGGGCUUGAGAUUCUUUGGGUUUUUUUGUUUGUUUGUUUUGUUUUGUUUGGUCUUUUUAGGGCCACACCCCAGGCUAGGAGUCUAAUCGUAGCUACAGCUGCUGUCAACGGAGGAUCCGAGCUGUGUCUACAACCUACACCACAGCUCACAGCAAUGCCGAAUCCUUAACCCACUAAGCAAGGCCAGAGAUCGAAUCCACAACCUCAUGGUUCCUAGUCAAAUUCAUUUCUGCUGCGCCAUGACCGGAACUCCGGAUUCUGUGUUUUUAAUGAAUGCACCUGAGGAAUUUUUAUGAUGGUAAGUUUGGUAAACACUGCUUUAGUCCCGCCCAGGUUGGGAUCAGAAUUCUCUUACCCAAAAGGCUGGGCAAGAUUGAGAAGCAGGGCUUCUGGUUUCAGAGGGACAUACAAGCAGUCUGUUAGGAGGCAUCCUGGAGCUAGGAUGCUGUCUGGGGGAGCGGGCUGCCACUUCCUGGGUGCUGGAUUUAGAGGACUGAGGUGUUCACAGUGAGGCUCCGGUGCUCAUGGGAACCGAGGUGACCCUGAGGGAGAGAAUGGCAGUCACGCAUCCCAGCCACAGGUGAGGGCUCUUGACGCAAACGGAAGAUUUAGGCUGGGUAGGAUUCCUAUCUCAUGGCCCAGGGAGGCUGUGGGGAAAGGCCGCUCACUCGUGGGUCAACAGCAGGGGGCGUCUCUCCUGAAAAGGAUCUUGUUCUUGGAUGGUAACCACUGGGGUGAACGGACGGUCCUUAGGAAACCAGAGCUCACCACGGAGACUAGACAGGCAGCGAGGUAACCAGUGUGUUUCAAGCCUUUCUCGUUGGGGUCCAGAUGCGAAAGGAGCUGGUGUCCUUGAAGUUCACGGUCUUGAGUUCAUCAGGGUGGCGGUGGGUGUGCCCUGGGAUAGCUGUCCCUAAGAAGAAGGGAGGACCUGAGCCGGGUGGCGCCGAGGAGCCCCUUCCCGAGGAGCCCCUUCCCACCUGGGAGCCCGCCGCCCUGGAGGGUGCCCUUGGGGUGGAUCUUCCUCAGGUGAGACCAGAGCAGGCAGGUCGAGGUGGGCGUGAGAUGUAAGGGAAUGAUUGGUUGUUUGAUCGGCCCAGAGUGGGACUUAUUGGACCGAGAGGUAAUGCUUUUGGCUCUGAUGGUUCCUAGAAACGGAAUGUUUGUGGCCCCACCGGCCCCCUAUUCAUAGUUUGAAACCUAAUCCCCAAUGUGAAGGUGUUUGGAGGCCCUGGGAGGCGAUUAGGGCAUCAGGGUGGGGCCGAUGCGGAUGGAUUCGUGCCCUUGUAAGCGGAGGAAGAGUCGGAGUUCUCCCAUCGCUGCCUGAGGACGAGGCAAGAACACGGGCUCAGGGAACAGUGAGCUGGCCCUCACCAGACUCAGAAUCUGCUUGAUCCUGGACUUUCCAGCCUCUAGGACUGUGAGAAAUAAAUGUCUGCUGUUU
ensembl:lncRNA